GUUAGAGUUGUAUAGCUAGUGAAACUUUGUCAGUGAUAUUUACAGAGUCCUCAAAACCAAAUUCAAUAAAACUAUUUUAUAAUUUUCCUCUUUCGUUUUUGUAAUAAUCUUUCCCUGAUGAAAAUAUCUAUCCACACAACUUUUCGCGCCUAUAAUUUGAUUCUAGAGGUUCACUUUUUAUAGUGUUUCCUAUAAUAAAUACAAUUUGACAUUUAAACUGAAUUUUUACAUAUUUUUUAGAUAAGUACAUACCUAAACAAUGAGAGUAUACACUAUCAGUAAGUUUUUGAAAUUCAUCAUCAUUCCAACUAACACGACAAAACAAAGAUGUUAUGUACAUCAGUAUACGGAGUAAUAUAAACAAUGUCUCCAUUUUAUAGUACAUUAGUUUCAUUAGAGGGCAUAGUACACUCUAUAAUAUUUUGAGUUAAUACCAGUACUUCUUCAUUUAAAACAAAGUAAAUUUCAUAUAUUUUAAUUUAAGGACUGUAAUAUAAUUAAUUUGAUUUAUUAGUAAG